rnacentral:rRNA from 1 species
GCUUGCUCUUAUGAAGUUAGCGGCGGACGGGUGAGUAACACGUGGGUAACCUGCCCAUAAGACUGGGAUAACUCCGGGAAACCGGGGCUAAUACCGGAUAACAUUUUGAACCGCAUGGUUCGAAAUUGAAAGGCGGCUUCGGCUGUCACUUAUGGAUGGACCCGCGUCGCAUUAGCUAGUUGGUGAGGUAACGGCUCACCAAGGCAACGAUGCGUAGCCGACCUGAGAGGGUGAUCGGCCACACUGGGACUGAGACACGGCCCAGACUCCUACGGGAGGCAGCAGUAGGGAAUCUUCCGCAAUGGACGAAAGUCUGACGGAGCAACGCCGCGUGAGUGAUGAAGGCUUUCGGGUCGUAAAACUCUGUUGUUAGGGAAGAACAAGUGCUAGUUGAAUAAGCUGGCACCUUGACGGGACCUAACCAGAAAGCCACGGCUAACUACGUGCCAGCAGCCGCGGUAAUACCUAGGUGGGAAGCGUUAUCCGGAAUUAUUGGGC